CCCUUUCCUCUCACGGCUUCUCCUUCCCGAUGCCUCCUCCCUUCUUCUCGUUCUCUUUCUCCUACUCCUCCUCCCAUGGCUGCUCCACCCUUAAAUCACCCAAACUCAGCGCCUAAUACUUGAGGGGAAGUAGCAAAAUGGAACGAGGAGAGCGAGAGGAGCAUGGAGAGGUGUAUCUUCGAGGUGGAUUGACCCUUUUUCCUCCCUUUCCGUUGUCCUAGGGUUUGGGGAAAACCAAGGUUGUGCUUUGAAGAGAGCAUGGGAAAAUGGGUUAGUUGCACAUCCUACACCUUUACAAGAUCCCAUAAUGCUAAGACGGUUUGUCCUGAGUCCAAGAGAUGGUAGAGAACCCUUGCUAAUGUUGUUAAAGAUAGAGUUGUUCUAUCGGAGUA